UUAUAAAAUUACAUUACCUAAAGGGGAUGGCUAUGAGUUCUACCUCUGUCAGUUUAGUGGAAAAGAUGUGUACUUCACUCCAUUAGCUAUGUAUUAGCUUAUCAAAGAGAGUGCUCCCCCUUGUCUGACAGUGGCUCAUUUUCCUGAACUCAAGGAUGAUAAAGGAAUUGUUUUGAUGGCAGGAGAAUAUGAUGAUAGUAUUAUUAAAAAGUCCGAGGCGUUGAAUCUUGUGAAACAGAUGACGUUAUACUAUGGGAAGGAGGCAGGAGAGAGGUACACAUUAGUGCGAACAUUUCACAAGAACCCAGAAAAUUUCCAGUACAUGGACAUCAUAGAACAAUAUAAACUUAAUAAAGACUACCUUGAAAAUAACCCAUAUUGAAAUAAACAAAUUUUAUAUAUUUAUUCUGAA